UGAUCCCUGUCCAGGAGGAUGGUCCCAAC
rnacentral:piRNA from 1 species